UGUAACCCCCCGCCACCACCCACCUCAUGUUUAAUUCAUUUGGGGACUCACCUGUCAGUUUCAGCCUCUAAUGCUGCAGGGGUGUCAUUACUGCGACCUCCCGUCAAGGAGCCAGCGUGGGUUUUAAUUGGAAAGCGACGCCGAGUUCUCGGAGCUACAAUUAUUAGGGGCAAAUUAUAAAAUAAUUUUAAAAAAAGGGCAGGUGCAACUCCUUAAAAUGGCUGAUAUCUGAUAUUUGUUUCAGCGGCUAUCCGAAAGGGGCGUCGGCACCCGACUGAUGGUUAUGUCUCGUCUUAAUUGGUUACUGGACUUCUCUCCCGACUGACGGUUAUGACUCGUCUUAACUGGUUACUGGACUUCUCUCCCGACUGACGGUUAUGACUCGUCUUAAUUGGUUACUGGACUUCUCUCCCGACUGACGGUUAUGACUCGUCUUAAUUGGUUACUGGACUUCUCUCCCGACUGACGGUUAUGACUCGUCUUAAUUGGUUACUGGAGUUCUCUCCCGACUGACGGUUAUGACUCCUCUUAAUUGGUUACUGGAGUUCUCUCCCGACUGACGGUUAUGACUCGUCUUAAUUGGUUACUGGAGUUCUCUCCCGACUGACGGUUAUGUCUCAUCUUAAUUGGUUAAUUGGACUUCUCUCCCGACCGACGUCGCGUCCGUUCAAACAACGUGGGAGUAAUGAAAGAGAUCCGUCGAAACAAACUGGGGGAGGGGUCACCCGGAGUUUAGAGAACAGAAGGAAAACUUUUGGGUAAAAUACAAAAUGUCCUGCUUCACCUAAAGGGGUUUCCUACACACAACUCCAGGGGAGAUUUCCUGUGUUAGUGUUGCGUCUACUCAAGCGUUUUGUUUAUUUCGAUGUGCCAAUGAUAAGGAGUACAAAGAAACCCCUAUUAGAUUGUACCGGGAGUGGUAACGCAUAGCUCAUUAAGUGAAAAUUAGAUGUAGAAUAGAGUUUGAGAGAGUAUGGAAAAAUUGAGUCGCCCAGUACUGGAGGGGUCCAUCUCUCUGGCUCACCACACGAUGUCUCUCUUUGAAUCCGUAACAUGUCCAUCUUACGACAUCCAAAGCCCUAGACUCCUUAAGGGUUAGCUACCACAGGUGACUUCAGAGUAAACUGAGGGAAUACACUCAUUUAAGGGGUAGCUACCACAGGUGACUUCAGAGUAAACUGAGGGAAUACACUCCUUUAAGGGGUAGCUACCACAGGUGACUUCAGAGUAAACUGAGGGAAUACACUCCUUUAAGGGGUAGCUACCACAGGUGACUUCAGAGUAAACUGAGGGAAUACACUCAUUUAAGGGGUAGCUACCACAGGUGACUUCAGAGUAAACUGAGGGAAUACACUCCUUUAAGGGGUAGCUACCACAGGUGACUUCAGAGUAAACUGAGGGAUAACACUAAAUUCAAAAUGAAUAUUAUGUAAUGGCUGAAGGGGAAGAAAAAACAACAAAAACAUUGAAUAUAUGCAUAUUCCAGAAGAUUUUUUUGCAAUUGGGAAGAAACAGA